rnacentral:rRNA from 1 species
GAUGAACGCUGGCGGCGUGCCUAAUACAUGCAAGUCGAGCGACCAGACGAGGAGCUUGCUCCUCUGACGUUAGCGGCGGACGGGUGAGUAACACGUGGAUAACCUCCCUAUAAGACUGGGAUAACUUCGGGAAACCGGAGCUAAUACCGGAUAAUAUAUUGAACCACAUGGUUCAAUAGUGAAAGACGGUUUUGCUGUCACUUAUAGAUGGAUCCGCGCCGCAUUAGCUAGUUGGUAACGUAACGGCUUACCACGGCAACGAUGCGUAGCCGACCUGAGAGGGUGAUCGCCCACCCUGGAAGUGAGACACGGUCCAGACUCCUACGGGAGGCAGCAGUAGGGAAUCUUACGCGAUGGGCGAAAGCCUGAUGGAGCAACGCCGCGGGAGUGAUGAUGGUCUUCCGAUCGGAAAACGCUGUUAGUAGGGAAGAACAAAUGUGUAAGUAACUAUGCACGUCUUGACGGUACCUAAUCAGAAAGCCACGGCUAACUACGUG